rnacentral:lncRNA from 10 species
CUUUUGUGUGUUCCUAAGUGUGUGGAGUGACUCAAAUUUUAGCACAGAAAGUAAAGUUAGAAAGCAACUGCUAUUUGCCAACAACCCAUUCUUUAAUUCUCAAAGAUCAAAAAUUUGCUUGAAAACUGACAUUUUCAUUUUCUCCUGGCCCAGUGAACAAAGUUUUAAGGUUAUGUGGUCGCUCUGAUACCACCUAAGAAGCAAAUAUUUCUUGCAGUCUACUUCUAGAUGUGAAUGAACUGAAAGUAAAUGACUCAGAGAUGGAGUAAAUGUCCCUUGAAAUACACCCAAACUUAAUAAUUAGGAGAAGAGUGCUUGAAUAAACACAUUUAGAGUGUUAUUGAGCAUAUACAAGCUUAGAUGGUCCAUAUUUCUAAAAGACAGUGAGUCUAUAGCACAUUCUUCGGAGAUGAGAAAAUUAUGCCAUAAAUAAAAUUUGUAGUGGAGGCAUUUGUUUUAUCAUUCAGUUAAGUAGCAGGAAUUCUUUCAUACCUAGAGGGACUUAGGUAAAACUAAUAAACAGACAUACUUAACAACAAGAACAACAACAACAAAAAUAAAGCAUUACCAUUCAAGAGUGUGAAAUCACUUCUCUGAGAGCCUUUUUGGAUUGAAUAUUCUUUUUGGGCUGGUAAUGUCAAACUAAAACUUUACCUAAACACAGAUAACUAGGUGGCUCUUAGCAUACCUUUCAGGGCUUAUGGUCUCCAAUUAUUCCACUCACAUCCCCCUAUACAUUUCCAAAUCACCUCUUUCAGUGUCUCCAGUGUUUAAACAUGAACUGGAUAGAGUGUUGCAUGGUAGUAUUAAAUAAAAUUUAGCUUAAAGCUGUUUCCUUACAUAUUAUAAGUUCUGUCUAAAGGUUUCUACGUGCAUAGUAUACAUGUCAUUGAAAGUGUAAAUGGACUAUAACCUACUCUGAUACCAAUCACUGAGUUGUGGCCAAUCAAAGGUGGCCAACUGCUCAAACCACAUUCAAAUAUGGCAAAUGCUGAGCUGUAACCAAUCCCGUUGUUUCUGUACCUCAUUUCUGUUUUCUCUCUGUCACUUUUCUUUUUCUUUCCAUAAAUCUUCUUCAACCACCUGGCAGUGCCAGAGUUUCUCUGAACCCAUUCUGGCUUGGGGGAUGCCUGAUUCAUGAAUCAUUCUUUGCUCAAUUAAACUCUGUUUAAUUUAAUUUGUCUAAGGUUUUUCUUUUAACAGUAGAGAUAGGAGUACAACACACUUUGAGGUGUACAGGAGUGAGUUCAAAUCCUAGCUCUGUUAUUGGCUUGAUUUCUCAUCUUGAGCAAGGUACUUAGUUUCUCUGAGCCUUAGUUUCUGCACUUGUAAAUGUGGAGAAGUGAAACACCAGACUUGAGAGGAUGCUCUGCUAUCUGAACGAGGUAAUGGGAAAAUGCUCGGCCAGUGUUGUAACUCAAUCUUCUUAUCCAACAGUGAGCCCCUUGGGCACCCAGACCCAGACUCGCCCUUCUAGUCUCACGUCUUGCACUCUCUGGCACAUCUCAUGUAGGCUCUGUUGCCUGUCAUGUUUUCCAGUCCACAAAUACCCUUGGCAUGCUCUCAUGUCUGUACUUGGUCCACAUUAUUCUAACGUGAAUACAUGAAACUUCUAAUGACAGUGCAAUCUUUCUAGACAAUCUCUGAAGGAGAAAUGUUACUAGUCUGUGGUGAAUAUAAAAAUAGGCUCAUAGGGAAAAAAAACUGUGAUUGAAGGUAUAAUUCUGCAUUUUCUUGGGAUAUACAUAAAUAGCAAGUAGUCAUUUUUUACUUAAAAAAAAAAAAAGAAAUCUACAGAAAGAAAAUUUAGCUGUCUUUCUGUUGCUAACCUUCCAGGAGGCCUUGGUUCUCCUUUAAGGUUGAAGUUCGUUUGUGACAGGUUAGUGCUGCUCAUUUUUGUGGCUUUCCAGAAGCCACCGUGGAAAAGGCAGAAGUCUUCCCCUCCCAUUAUGCUGAGUCAGACAUGGCAUCUACAUGACUCAUCACCAAGUGGUUCUCCAGAAUUCACUUUGCUUGCUUUUCCCCAAUCCAGAUAAUCCUCGGGACUGGUAGCCACCCAACUCACUCCUGCACACUGUUCUUCCUCUUUGGAGGCACCCACCAUGCCUGUCUGAUGCUGCCCCUCAAGGUCACAUCGGAGUCUCCUGUACCUACCUUGUCUGUGGCUACCCAACUCUAUACAAUUUCUGAAGCUUUCAUAACACCCAGAUGGUCUAUAAUGUAAUAUGUGUUUAGAUAAUCCUCAGGCCAAAACAUCUUUCCAAAAUUUAACUGUAAAUCUGUCACUUCCAUGGGUUAUGUUAGUCUUUUCCAUGUUCAAAUGGCUAUCUGAGCUCCUGGGGAGGGGAAGUCACUCCCGGAGUUCUCUUUCCAUCAUUCAUAGUGUGAAUCUCACCUUGGGCUGGGAGGAAUUUGUGAUGGGCAUACAAGUGAGAAAAAGGGUGCAAAGGGGUGAGAUGGUAUGUUAGUCAGGGUUCUCUAGAGGGACAGAAUUAAUAGGAUAGAUGUAUAUACAAAGGGGAAUGUAUUAAGGAGUAUUAACUCACGAGAUCACAAGGUAAGGUUGCAUAAUAGGCCAUCUGCAACCUGAGGAGCAAGGAAGCCAGUCCAAGUCCCAAAGCUGAAGGACCUUGAGUCCAAUGUUUGAGGGCAGGAAGCAUCCAGCAUAUGGGAGAAAGAUGUAGGCUUGGAGGCUAAGCCAGUCUAAUCUUUUUUUUUUUUUUUGAGAUGGAGUUGCCCUCUGUCACCCAGGCUGGAGUGCAGUGGCGUGAUCUCAGCUCACUGCAACCUCCGCCUCCGCCUCGCAGUACCUGAGAUUACAGGUGCAUGCCAACACGGCUAAUUCUUGUAUUUUUAGUAGAUACAGGGUUUCACCAUGUUGGCCAGUUGGUCUGGAACGAACUCCUGACCUCAAGUGAUCCGCCCACCUCAGCCUCCGAAAGUUCUGCGAUUACAGGUGUGAGCCACUGUGCCUGGCCAAGCCUAAUCUUUCCACGUUCUUCUGCUUGCUUUUAUUCUAGUUACACUGUCAGCUGGUUAGAUGGUGCCCUCCCAGAUUGAAGGUAGAUCUGCGUUUCCCAGUCCACUGACUCAAAUGUUAAUCUCCUUUGGCAACGCCUUCACAGACACACCCAGAAUCAAUACAUUGCACCCUUCAAUCCAAUCAAGUUGACAUCCAGUAGUAACCAUCACAGAUGGCUAAUACGGGAGAUAUUCAUGAAGGGUCUGGGAAGGGGAUUUGGAAGAGAUAUGGACACAAAGGAAGGAGGAAAGAAAAGGGGAAGUGAGACGGGAACCAAACCAAACACCCUGUAUUGCACAAUUGAGCCUGGAGUUGGCCUGCUCGCCACAGAGCAGUCACAGGUUUUCAGGAUGCUUUAGUGAUAGCAGCCAUCAGUACCUCUCAUUAGGAGCAAAAGCCCUGAUUGGUAAUAGUAUAUUCUACUUAUUUAGAGAAUAAAAGUUCCCUGUUAGAACCAGCCUUCUCAGAAUGGCAUUCAGCUUUUCAGAAAAGCACAGCACCAGCAUAUUUCUUAUCUGCCUUGAAGGUUAUAAUAAAUCCCUUCUUCUGUUAAUUCAUAAAUCCUUCAGCCACAUGCCAUUUUGGGGCCAUAUGCUUUCUUUCCUCCCUCUAACCCUUGGAAAGAUCUUUCAUAUCCAAUCUCUGUAGAUAAUCUGAAUGUGAAAUCAGGUAUGGUUAUCUAAUCCCUCUAAUCAGAAGGUCAGCAGUUACCUGCAGCUUUUCCAUCUGUCCUCCAGCUGAAUGCUGCCAUUUAGUAAAUCAAAAAUUGGUUACAAAUUAGCAAAGCUGACUGGCUCAAUGAAAUCUAGCCUGGAGUCUUUGCUGGAAGGGGGGAAGUUUAAAUAUGGUUUGAAGGGAGAUUUGAGGUGAACUCUAUUUAUCAAAGCCGUGGAGUAGCAGCAUAAAAGAUGAGAGAUGUUCUCCUGGGUAAAAAUGUCAAAUCACAUGGGAAAUGGGAAUAUUUCACAUGGUGAUUACUGAAUUUUACAAUUGUUCGCAAAUUGAUUCAGCCCAGAAAUCAACUGGGAAGUCUCCCACAGGUGUCUAGCACUCUGCAGGUAUUAGCGUGAUACAGGGUAAGUCUCAAAGUACAAAAAAAAACACACAUGUGAAACAAUUUGCAAACAAUGAAGUGCUAACCUGUGUGGUGUGAAUUACAGAUGCAUUAGGACACCAGAAAAGGAAGAAAAGACAGUGGCAGCUGAAGACAUUUCAGGAAUGCUUCACUGAGAACCUAAGUCUUGUUCUGGGCCAUAAAGAAAAGGGGAGGGUGUGGUUUCUAUACCAGAGAUAAGAAAGGAGAAAAUUGGACGUGGAGGAAAGAUAUGAGUACCAAUCCGAGCGAACAAGGAAGAGUGAGUAAAUCUGUCCAGCUGGAGUUGGAGGUACAUUCUGGAAAAUGGUGAGAGAGGCUGUGUAGGGUAGGGGGACACGGAAAGAUGGGCCAAGACAUUUGGAGCUGAUAUUUGAUAUGGUUUGGCUGUGCCCCCACCCAAAUCUCAUCUUAAAUUGUAAUCCCCAUAAUCCCCACGUGUCGAGGGAGGGACCCGGUGGGAAGUGAUUGGAUCAUGGGGGCAGUUUUCCCCAUGGAAUUCUCGUGAUAGUGAGUGAGUUCUCACGAGAUCUCAUGGUUUUACAAGCGUCUGGUAUUUCACCUGAUUGCACUUCUCUCUUCUGCCUCCUAGUGAAAAAGGUGCCUGCUUCUCCUUCUGCCAUGAUUAUAAGUUUCCUGAGGCUUCCCCAGCCAUGCGUAACUCUCCUUCCCAUUUAUGAGAGAGCCACAUGACAUCAGCCCAUAGACUGUGGAGAGUAUUCCAGAUCUAUCACAUUCUGCGAUUCUGCGAUUCCCAGAAGGCUGGUCAUGAAAAAAUUCCCUCUUCAGUUUACAUAUAUGGCAGUGGCACUUCUAGAUAUCUGUUGAGGCCUGGAAGGGGCAAAACAAUUCAGGAAGCAGUUGAAGAUAAAGGGGUUUACCAUGGAAGAGAAGAUCCAGGUGCCUUCAUGGAAAUGCUUGUGGUUGAAAAGAGAUGAAGAUGAGGGUCCCUGGAAAGAGGAAGAACCAGCCAGGAAAAUUAUACCAUUAGCAAGACUGGCAUCAGCAAGUAGUUCGCAGUGUUGGUUGUUCUUGGUUUCGCAGGAUUUUAUAGGAGAUGGACCUUCUCCUAAAAGUCUUAUCUUCUAAGUCUCCUAAGUCUUGGACUUUUCAAGGCCAAAGAUUUAAAGGCCAAGUGGACCAUACGGGAGAUCUAGUUUCCCAUCCAGACAGCCAAGCUCAUGCAUCCCUGGAUUUGGAUGGAUGGUUUCCCAUGGGGCCUUGGACAGAUUGGACCCAGCACUGGCACAGGGUUGACUUGGAGGAAUAAGCUCCUGGAAACCUCAAUUAGCGUUUGGGGUAUGAACAUUAAACAAUACUGAAUCUGGAAACAAUACAUCACACAGCGGGUCCAAGGAAAUAAGCAGAAGGCUGGCAGCAGGCCAGGGCCAGGGGCCAAAUCGCUCCUCAAAGACAAUUCUUCAUGGAGAAAUGACAGCAGGUUUGAGGACAGCAGAAUUUCGCUCUUGUUGCCCAGGGCUGGAGUGCAAUGGUGCAAUCUCGGCUCACCACAACCACUGCCUCCUGGGUUCAAGCGAUUCUCCUGCCUCAGCCUCCUGAGUAGCUGGGAUUACAGGAAGUACAAAAACAUCCUUGCCGUUUGCUGGAAUGAUGUACUGCUGAAGGCAAUGGACACUGGGGUUGUUUGUCCCUAAUCACAAGUGAGCAAUACCAGAUCUAUUAUCUCAGGUUCAGAGAAGUGAGGUGUCUGACCUUCAGACAGGAUUGAAUGCAGAGUAAAAUAAUUCCAAAUAUGGUCUGGGCAUUGCAUGUAAUACAGAGUAAAAGUUAUUGUAAGACACUUUCGCCAGUUUCUGUCACUUGGUUCCUCAAAUGUUUAGUUCAUUCUAAUUACAUAAUCAGCCUUCUGAUUCAAUGAAGACUGAUGGGAUUGCUGACUUGCCACCCUGGAGUUCAGUUGGCAGCAAGUGAGGGAAAAGGUGAACUCUGUAAACAAGGUUUAGAAGCCCUUUUCUUAACUCUUUAUAAAACAGAGAAGAUGAGGAAGGAGAAAGGCACUGUCAUUAAGCUCUUAGCCAGGGAAUUACACAUACACACACGUGUGUGUGUGUGUAUUUCAACUCAAUGUACAAGGACUUCUCAGCCCAUAGCUACUUUGAACACAUUGUUUAUCCCCCAUAGCAUGAAGGACUAAAGGAACCAGAGAUUUCAUAAUCUCUGGCCUGUAACGUUUUUGCUGAAAUAUCUGCUGUUAUUCUAAUGGGGUUUCCUUUAAAGGUGACUAGUCACUCUUCUUUUGCUAAUUAAUUUUUUUUUUCACUUUGACUUUAGACAUUCUGAAUAUAAUAUGCUAUGAUGAAGCACUUUAUGCAAUGUAUAUUCCUGAGGAUUGCUGGGCCUCCUGUAACUAGAUGUCUGACUCUCUUGCUAGAUGUGGAAAGUUUUCAUCAAUUAUUUUCUUAAACAGGUUUUCUAAGCUUUUAAAUAAUCUUUCUUUCCCAUCAGGAAUACCAAUAAUUUCUAAUUUCAGUCACUUUAUGUAGUCCCAGACAUCUCAAAGGCUUUGUGCACUCCCUUUUAUACUUUUUUGUUGUCGUUAUCUUUGUCUUACUGGAUUAUUUCAAAAGACUUAUCUUCAAGUUCUGAGAUUCUUUCUUCUGCUUGAUCUAUUCUGUUAUUGAAGCUUUCAAAUACAUUUUGCAUUUCCUUCAAUAGUUUUUUUAGGUUUAGAUUUUCUGCUUUUGCUUUAUAAGAUACCCAUCUCCUUGAUACAUUUCUCAUUAAUAUCCUGAGUUAAUUUUCUAAUUUCUUGAAGUUGGCCCAAGGGUGGAAUGCAGCCCCGUGUUAAACUCUCAAAACUGUGCCUUGGGCCUGUGACCAGACAGAGCAGAUUUCUUCUCAAGUAAGUAGCAUAGAAAAGAGAGAUCCAAAUAAACACAAUCAUAAAUGAAAAAGGAGACAUUAUAGCUGAUAACACAGAGGCACAAAGAUCAUCAGAGACUAUUAUAAAUAACUAUAUGAUCACAAACC